rnacentral:rRNA from 1 species
GGCGUGAGGUUGUAGCUGGCUCUCUGGAGCAUGUGCACACCUUCGUCACCUUUAUCUUUCCACCUGUGCACACACUGUAGUCCUGGAUACCUCUCGCCGCAAGGCGGAUGCAGAGCUUGCUGUGACUUUGGCAACAAAGACCAGUCUUGCUCUGAAUUUCCAGGGUCUACGAUCUUUACACACCCCUAAACGAAUGUCAUAGAAUGUAUAUCACUGGGCCUUUGUGCCUAUAAACCUUAUACAACUUUCAACAACGGAUCUCUUGGCUCUCGCAUCGAUGAAGAACGCAGCGAAAUGCGAUAAGUAAUGUGAAUUGCAGAAUUCAGUGAAUCAUCGAAUCUUUGAACGCACCUUGCGCUCCUUGGUAUUCCGAGGAGCAUGCCUGUUUGAGUGUCAUUAAAUUCUCAACCUUACCCGUCUUGUCACGGGCUUUAAGGCUUGGAUGUGGGGGCUUGCAGGUCCGCCUUUACAGGGUGGUCUGCUCCUCUGAAAUGCAUUAGUGGGUUUGUGCCCCUCAUCUAUUGGUGUGAUAAUUAUCUACGCCGCUGGGUGAUGCAUCAACGAAACCUGCUCAUAACCGUCCGUCUCGGACAACUUUGACCAUUUUGACCUCAAAUCAGGUAAGACUACCCGCUGAACUUAAGCAUAUCAAUAAGCGGGAAGGA